rnacentral:rRNA from 1 species
ACACAUGCAAGUCGAGCGGUAGCACAGAGAGCUUGCUCUCGGGUGACGAGCGGCGGACGGGUGAGUAAUGUCUGGGAAACUGCCUGAUGGAGGGGGAUAACUACUGGAAACGGUAGCUAAUACCGCAUAACGUCGCAAGACCAAAGUGGGGGACCUUCGGGCCUCAUGCCAUCAGAUGUGCCCAGAUGGGAUUAGCUAGUAGGUGGGGUAACGGCUCACCUAGGCGACGAUCCCUAGCUGGUCUGAGAGGAUGACCAGCCACACUGGAACUGAGACACGGUCCAGACUCCUACGGGAGGCAGCAGUGGGGAAUAUUGCACAAUGGGCGCAAGCCUGAUGCAGCCAUGCCGCGUGUGUGAAGAAGGCCUUCGGGUUGUAAAGCACUUUCAGCGGGGAGGAAGGCGAUAAGGUUAAUAACCUUGUCGAUUGACGUUACCCGCAGAAGAAGCACCGGCUAACUCCGUGCCAGCAGCCGCGGUAAUACGGAGGGUGCAAGCGUUAAUCGGAAUUACUGGGCGUAAAGCGCACGCAGGCGGUCUGUCAAGUCGGAUGUGAAAUCCCCGGGCUCAACCUGGGAACUGCAUUCGAAACUGGCAGGCUAGAGUCUUGUAGAGGGGGGUAGAAUUCCAGGUGUAGCGGUGAAAUGCGUAGAGAUCUGGAGGAAUACCGGUGGCGAAGGCGGCCCCCUGGACAAAGACUGACGCUCAGGUGCGAAAGCGUGGGGAGCAAACAGGAUUAGAUACCCUGGUAGUCCACGCCGUAAACGAUGUCGAUUUGGAGGUUGUGCCCUUGAGGCGUGGCUUCCGGAGCUAACGCGUUAAAUCGACCGCCUGGGGAGUACGGCCGCAAGGUUAAAACUCAAAUGAAUUGACGGGGGCCCGCACAAGCGGUGGAGCAUGUGGUUUAAUUCGAUGCAACGCGAAGAACCUUACCUGGUCUUGACAUCCACAGAACUUAGCAGAGAUGCUUUGGUGCCUUCGGGAACUGUGAGACAGGUGCUGCAUGGCUGUCGUCAGCUCGUGUUGUGAAAUGUUGGGUUAAGUCCCGCAACGAGCGCAACCCUUAUCCUUUGUUGCCAGCGGUUCGGCCGGGAACUCAAAGGAGACUGCCAGUGAUAAACUGGAGGAAGGUGGGGAUGACGUCAAGUCAUCAUGGCCCUUACGACCAGGGCUACACACGUGCUACAAUGGCAUAUACAAAGAGAAGCGACCUCGCGAGAGCAAGCGGACCUCAUAAAGUAUGUCGUAGUCCGGAUUGGAGUCUGCAACUCGACUCCAUGAAGUCGGAAUCGCUAGUAAUCGUAGAUCAGAAUGCUACGGUGAAUACGUUCCCGGGCCUUGUACACACCGCCCGUCACACCAUGGGAGUGGGUUGCAAAAGAAGUAGGUAGCUUAACCUUCGGGAGGGCGCUUACCAC